rnacentral:rRNA from 1 species
CCUCGGUGCUUGCACCGGGUGAUCAGUGGCGAACGGGUGAGUAACACGUGAGCAACCUGCCCCCGACCCUGGGAUAACCCCGAGAAAUCGGAGCUAAUACCGGAUACGAGACGCACAGGCAUCUGUAGCGUCUGGAAAGAUUCAUCGGUCAGGGAUGGGCUCGCGGCCUAUCAGCUAGUUGGUGAGGUAGUGGCUUACCAAGGCGACGACGGGUAGCCGGCCUGAGAGGGCGACCGACCACACUGGGACUGAGACACGGCCCAGACUCCUACGGGAGGCAGCAGUGGGGAAUAUUGCACAAUGGGCGCAAGCCUGAUGCAGCGACGCCGCGUGGGGGAUGAAGGCCUUCGGGUUGUAAACCCCUUUCAGCAGGGAAGAAGCGAAAGUGACGGUACCUGCAGAAGAAGCGCCGGCUAACUACGUGCCAGCAGCCGCGGUAAUACGUAGGGCGCAAGCGUUGUCCGGAUUUAUUGGGCGUAAAGAGCUCGUAGGCGGUUUGUCGCGUCUGCUGUGAAAACCCGAGGCUCAACCUCGGGCCUGCAGUGGGUACGGGCAGACUAGAGUGCGGUAGGGGAGACUGGAAUUCCUGGUGUAGCGGUGGAAUGCGCAGAUAUCAGGAGGAACACCGAUGGCGAAGGCAGGUCUCUGGGCCGCAACUGACGCUGAGGAGCGAAAGCAUGGGGAGCGAACAGGAUUAGAUACCCUGGUAGUCCAUGCCGUAAACGUUGGGCACUAGGUGUGGGGCUCAUUCCACGAGUUCCGUGCCGCA